rnacentral:rRNA from 1 species
UACGUAGGCAGCGAGCGUUGUUCGGAGUUACUGGGCGUAAAGCGUGCGUAGGCGGUGUCUUAAGUUUGUUGUGAAAUCUCCCGGCUUAACCGGGAGGGUGCGGCGAAUACUGAGAUGCUGGAGUGCGGGAGAGGUAAGUGGAAUUCCUGGUGUAGCGGUGAAAUGCGCAGAUAUCAGGAGGAACACCAAUUGCGAAGGCAGCUCGCUGGGACGUUACUGACGCUGAGACGCGAAAGCGUGGGGAGCAAACAGG